rnacentral:lncRNA from 1 species
GUAGUUAUUUAUUAAGUCACUCUUAGACAUCGGUGAAUUAAAUGGUUAAUUUUGCUUCUCGACACACAUAUGCAUUCUUGUCAUUCUAAUUGUUCCUUUCCUACACUGAAUAGUGUCAGAGUUAAUGAUCUUCUGUCAUUUUACGGCUCACUUUGUUAAACAUCACAAUUGCAUACACUGGAUUCCUUCUUAUCGAAACAAGAGGUGGAAGAUACUAAGGAGCCGAAAGUAAGACAACGUCAUAGUAAAAAAAAACCAACAACAACGACCAAAAUGUCCACAGACCACUUCAUAAUAUUUUGCUUUAAAACCUCUAUAAU